rnacentral:rRNA from 1 species
GUUGAACGCUGGCGGCAGGCCUAACACAUGCAAGUCGAACGGCAGCACAGAAGAGCUUGCUCUUUGGGUGGCGAGUGGCGGACGGGUGAGUAAUGUCUGGGGAACUGCCCGAUGGAGGGGGAUAACUACUGGAAACGGUAGCUAAUACCGCAUAACGUCGCGAGACCAAAGUGGGGGACCUUCGGGCCUCACACCAUCGGAUGUGCCCAGAUGGGAUUAGCUAGUAGGUGGGGUAAUGGCUCACCUAGGCGACGAUCCCUAGCUGGUCUGAGAGGAUGACCAGCCACACUGGAAAUGAGACACGGUCCAGACUCCUACGGGAGGCAGCAGUGGGGAAUAUUGCACAAUGGGCGCAAGCCUGAUGCAGCCAUGCCGCGUGUAUGAAGAAGGCCUUCGGGUUGUAAAGUACUUUCAGCGGGGAGGAAGGCGGUGAGGUUAAUAACCUCGCCGAUUGACGUUACCCGCAGAAGAAGCACCGGCUGACUCCGUGCCAGCCGCCGCGGUAA